rnacentral:ncRNA from 1 species
AAUUAGCAAUGCUUUAGCUGACUUAGGAGCUAGCAUUAGUUUAAUGCCAUAUAGUUUGUUUAACAAGUUGGCGCUGGGUGAGACUAAACCCACUAGGAUGAGCAUACAGUUAGCUGAUAGGACUGUUAAGUAUCCUAGGGGUAUUGUGGAGGAUGUACUUGUUAAGGAGCCGCGGUAAUACAGAGGAUGCAAGCGUUAUCCAGAAUGAUUAGGCGUAAAGCAUCUAUAGGUGGCUUUUUAAAUCCGCCGUCAAAUCUCAGGGCUCAACCCUAGACAGGCGGUGGAAACUACCAAGCUAGAGUAUGGUAGGGGCAGAGGGAAUUUCCGGUGGAGCGGUGAAAUGCGUAGAGAUCGGUUGACAAAUUUAUAUUUCCUGCUGACUUUAUGUUCAUGGACAUGGAUAGCGAGAGUAACGUACCUUUAAUUCUAGGUCGACCUUUCCUUGU